UACGAAGGGGGCUAGCGUUGCUCGGAAUGACUGGGCGUAAAGGGCGCGUAGGCGGUUUGUACAGUCAGAUGUGAAAUUCCUGGGCUCAACCUGGGGGCUGCAUUUGAUACGUGCGGACUUGAGUGAGGAAGAGGGUCGCGGAAUUCCCGGUGUAGAGGUGAAAUUCGUAGAUAUCGGGAGGAACACCAGUGGCGAAGGCGGCGACCUGGGCCAAUACUGACGCUGAGGUGCGAAAGCGUGGGGAGCAAACAGG
rnacentral:rRNA from 1 species